rnacentral:rRNA from 1 species
GUCAUUGUAGCAAUACAAGGCAUACGGCUCAGUAACGCGUAGUCAACCUAACCUAUGGACGGGAAUAACCUCGGGAAACUGAGAAUAAUGCCCGAUAGAACAUUAUACCUGGAAUGGUUUAUGUUCCAAAUGAUUUAUCGCCAUAGGAUGGGACUGCGGCCUAUCAGUUUGUUGGUGAGGUAAUGGCCCACCAAGACUAUUACAGGUACGGGCUCUGAGAGGAGUAGCCCGGAGAUGGGUACUGAGACACGGACCCAGGCCCUAUGGGGCGCAGCAGGCGAGAAAACUUUGCAAUGUGCGAAAGCACGACAAGGUUAAUCCGAGUGAUUUCUGCUAAAGAGAUCUUUUGUUAGUCCUAGAAACACUAACGAAUAAGGGGUGGGCAAGUUCUGGUGUCAGCCGCCGCGGUAAAACCAGCACCUCAAGUGGUCAGGAUGAUUAUUGGGCCUAAAGCAUCCGUAGCCGGCCCUGUAAGUUUUCGGUUAAAUCUGUACGCUCAACGUACAGGCUGCCGGGAAUACUGCAGAACUAGGGAGUGGGAGAGGUAGACGGUACUCGGUAGGAAGUGGUAAAAUGCUUUGAUCUAUCGAUGACCACCUGUGGCGAAGGCGGUCU